GGUGGCAUAGCCAAGUUGGUAAGGCGGAGGACUGCAAAUCCUUUAUUUCCCCGGUUCAAAUCCGGGUGCCACCUCCA
rnacentral:tRNA from 1 species